rnacentral:rRNA from 1 species
AACGAACGCUGGCGGCAGGCCUAACACAUGCAAGUCGAACGCCGUAGCAAUACGGAGUGGCAGACGGGUGAGUAACGCGUGGGAACCUACCUUACGGUCGGGAAUAGCUCAGGGAAACUUGGGGUAAUACCGGAUACGCCCUUACGGGGAAAGAUUUAUCGCCGUUAGAUGGGCCCGCGUAGGAUUAGCUAGUUGGUGAGGUAAUGGCUCACCAAGGCGACGAUCCUUAGCUGGUCUGAGAGGAUGAUCAGCCACACUGGGACUGAGACACGGCCCAGGCUCCUACGGGAGGCAGCAGUGGGGAAUAUUGGACAAUGGGCGCAAGCCUGAUCCAGCCAUGCCGCGUGAGUGACGAAGGCCUUAGGGUUGUAAAGCUCUUUUGGCGGGAAGAUAAUGACGGUACCCGCAGAAUAAGCUCCGGCUAACUUCGUGCCAGCCGCCGCGGUAAAAC